AUUGAACGCUGGCGGCAGGCCUAACACAUGCAAGUCGAGCGGAUGAAGGGAGCUUGCUCCUGGAUUCAGCGGCGGACGGGUGAGUAAUGCCUAGGAAUCUGCCUGGUAGUGGGGGAUAACGUCCGGAAACGGGCGCUAAUACCGCAUACGUCCUGAGGGAGAAAGUGGGGGAGCUUCGGACCUCACGCUAUCAGAUGAGCCUAGGUCGGAUUAGCUAGUUGGUGGGGUAAAGGCCUACCAAGGCGACGAUCCGUAACUGGUCUGAGAGGAUGAUCAGUCACACUGGAACUGAGACACGGUCCAGACUCCUACGAGAGGCACCAGUGGGGAAUAUUGGACAAAGGGCGAAAGCCUGAUCCAGCCAUGCCGCGCGUGUUAAGAAGGUCUUCCGAUUGUAAAGCACUUUAAGUUGGGAGGAAGGGCAGUAAGUUAAUACCUUGCUGUUUUGACGUUACCAACAGAAUAAGCACCGGCUAACUUCGUG
rnacentral:rRNA from 1 species